rnacentral:sRNA from 1 species
GCUGCUCUUGGCCCAGACUUGGACCAGGACGUCCCGUGCUGCGUCCUGCGGGCCCAGCUGCUGUUGCCACGCGUGCUGCAAGGCCGCCAGCCCGGGGUUAGCCGGCCGGCUUCACCCUACCCACGCUACCCAACAUGUUUGGGAACCUGCGCUCCACGUUAAUGGCCCUCAUGAUUGGCUCUUAUGCCUCUUCUGCCAUCACGUUCCCAGGAAUCAAGCUGAUCUACGAUGCCGGUGUGGCCUUCGUGGUCAUCAUGUUCACCUGGUCUGGCCUGGCCUGCCUUAUCUUUCUGAACUGCGCCCUCAACUGGCCCAUCGAAGCCUUCCCUGCCCCUGAGGAAGUCAAUUACACGAAGAAGAUCAAGCUGAGUGGGCUGGCCCUGGACCACAAGGUGACAGGUGACCGCUUCUACACCCAUGUGACCACCGUGGGCCAGAGGCUCAGCCAGAAGGCCCCCAGCCUGGAGGACAGUUCGGAUGCCUUCAUGUCAUCCCAGGAUGUUCAGGGCACCUCAGAAAACCUUCCUGAGAGGUCUGUCCCCUUCCGCAAGAGCCUCUGCUCCCCCAUUUUCCUGUGGAGCCUCCUCACCAUGGGCAUGACCCAGCUGCGGAUCAUCUUCUACAUGGCUGCCAUGAACAAGAUGCUGGAGUACCUUGUGACUGGUGGCCAGGAGCAUGAGACGAAUGAACAGCAACAAAAGGUGGCAGAGACAGUUGGGUUCUACUCCUCCGUCUUCGGGGCCAUGCAGCUGUUGUGCCUUGUCACCUGCCCCC